rnacentral:rRNA from 1 species
GGACUACCGGGGUUUCUAAUCCCGUUCGAUUCCCACGCUUUCGUGUCUCAGCGUCAGGAGUGCGCCAGUAAAGUGCCUUCGCAUUUGGUGUUCCCCAUGAUAUCAACGGAUUUCACCCCUACACCAUGAGUUCCCUUUACCUCUCGCAUCCUCGAAGUCGUGCCGUUUCCGUCGCAUUUCCUGGGUUAAGCCCAAGAGCUUUUACGAAGGACUAACAUGACCGCCUACACACCCUUUACGCCCAGUGAUUCCGGAUAAUGCUUGGGGCCUCUGUAUUACCGCGGCUGCUGGCAC